rnacentral:piRNA from 1 species
UGAGAAAAUGAAAGCCUGGCUCAGCUAA